rnacentral:piRNA from 1 species
UCUAAAGGAAUAAAACAGAGUGCCUAGGC